CGGCGGACGGGUGAGUAACGCGUGGGUAACCUACCCCAAAGUCCGGGAUAACAGCGGGAAACCGCUGCUAAUACCGGAUGCCUUUACCUUGGGGCAUCUUGAGGUAAAGAAAGGUAACGCUUUGGGAUGGGCCCGCGUCCCAUUAGCUAGUUGGUGAGGUAACGGCUCACCAAGGCGACGAUGGGUAGCCGGCCUGAGAGGGUGGACGGCCACACUGGGACUGAGACACGGCCCAGACUCCUACGGGAGGCAGCAGUAGGGAAUAUUGCGCAAUGGACGGAAGUCUGACGCAGCGACGCCGCGUGAGCGAUGAAGGUCUUCGGAUCGUAAAGCUCUGUCCUUGGGGAAGAAGGUCUUCGGACUUGACGGUACCCAAGAAGAAAGCCCCGGCUAACUACGUGCCAGCAGCCGCGGUAAUACGUAGGGGGCGAGCGUCGUCCGGAAUUACUGGGCGUA
rnacentral:rRNA from 1 species